AUUGAACGCUGGCGGCAGGCUUAACACAUGCGAGUCGAGCGGCAGCGGGAAAGUAGCUUGCUACUUUUGCCGGCGAGCGGCGGACGGGUGAGUAAUGCCUGGGGAUCUGCCCAGUCGAGGGGGAUAACUACUGGAAACGGUAGCUAAUACCGCAUACGCCCUACGGGGGAAAGCAGGGGACCUUAGGGCCUUGCGCGAUUGGAUGAACCCAGGUGGGAUUAGCUAGUUGGUGAGGUAAUGGCUCACCAAGGCGACUACCCCUAGCUGGUCUGAGAGGAUGAUCAGCCACACUGGAACGGAGACACGGUCCAGACUCCUACGGGAGGCAGCAGUGGGGAAUAUUGCACAAUGGGGGAAACCCUGAUGCAGCCAUGCCGCGUGUGUGAAGAAGGCCUUCGGGUUGUAAAGCACUUUCAGCGAAGAGGAAAGGUUGGUAGCUAAUAACUGCCAGCUGUGACGUUACUCGCAGAAGAAGCACCGGCUACCUCCGUGCCAGCCGCCGCAGUAAAAC
rnacentral:rRNA from 1 species